UGAACGCUGGCGGCAGGCCUAACACAUGCAAGUCGAGCCGGAAACGAGUUAUCUGAACCUUCGGGGAACGAUAACGGCGUCGAGCGGCGGACGGGUGAGUAAUGCCUGGGAAUAUGCCUUGAUGUGGGGGAUAACCAUUGGAAACGAUGGCUAAUACCGCAUAAUGCCUUCGGGCCAAAGAGGGGGACCUUCGGGCCUCUCGCGUCAAGAUUAGCCCAGGUGGGAUUAGCUAGUUGGUGAGGUAAAGGCUCACCAAGGCGACGAUCCCUAGCUGGUCUGAGAGGAUGAUCAGCCACACUGGAACUGAGACACGGUCCAGACUCCUACGGGAGGCAGCAGUGGGGAAUAUUGCACAAUGGGCGCAAGCCUGAUGCAGCCAUGCCGCGUGUAUGAAGAAGGCCUUCGGGUUGUAAAGUACUUUCAGCAGUGAGGAAGGCUCAUGCGUUAAUAGCGUAUGGGUUUGACGUUAGCUGCAGAAGAAGCACCGGCUAACUCCGUGCCAGCAGCCGCGGUAAU
rnacentral:rRNA from 1 species